rnacentral:rRNA from 1 species
UACGUAGGGUGCGAGCGUUGUCCGGAAUUACUGGGCGUAAAGAGCUCGUAGGUGGUUUGUCGCGUUGUUCGUGAAAACUCACGGCUUAACUGUGAGCGUGCGGGCGAUACGGGCAGACUGGAGUACUGCAGGGGAGACUGGAAUUCCUGGUGUAGCGGUGGAAUGCGCAGAUAUCAGGAGGAACACCGGUGGCGAAGGCGGGUCUCUGGACCGUAACUGACGCUGAGGCACGAAAGCGUGGGUAGCAAACAGG